CCUCAGUGGAAAAAUGGAGAACAGUGUAAAAUUUUGGAUUUCACUCAUACCAGUGGGACAGCUAGCAUUUAACUUUUUCAUACAUGUUUUCCACAACAAUAAAAGUGAAAAAUAUUCUUAGACAGAUCAUAUAGAGCAUCCUUCCUGAAAGUGGAGUGCUCCAAAGAUCUCUAACACUUGAGAUUUCGUAUCGAUGCGGUUACCAAAAGAAGUUGAGUGAAGCAGAACUCCCUUCUCCUCCUGGCCAUUAUAAGCCAAAUUUUUAAACUUUUCCUCAGGCAAAACUUGUGUUGAUCUCACUGGGAGAUUUGCUUGAGUGAGGACAGCAAUAUUAAACUCUACUAGCAGCAAGAACCAAGCAUACCACUUCAAUAAUUUUAAAAUGAAAACCAUACAAAUAUACUUGUUUUGUCCAAAUGUGUAUGAACAUUAGCAACAUAAAACAUUUCAUAAGCUUGUGUAAUACAAGGAUAGCUACAGAUUUGAACUUGGCUACUUUCAAAGUACCCUUACUUACAACGAGCUUUAAACAAAGUGGCAAUAUUGUGAGGCCAAAUGUUCUCUCCAGAUUCUGGAAUGGGUAUAUGAGCACAGGAUAGGAUAAGACAAUAUGUGUAAGGGAAGGGAAGAAAGGCUUUCUCAAAGCAAGCAGAAGGGAAAUUGCUCUGCAGCUGUUACACAUGUCUAAGAGGUUCAGUUAUUUCCUGGUCAGAAAGGAGCAACUAAACAAGGAGAGCACAGAAUUCACUCAUCUGCACAUUCAGGACAAGCAAACAGUGUUAAAUGGCUUCUCCAGAAUCCAGGGCUUAUGGCCCUCUGCUCCAGCCACUCUCCUGCUACAGUUUGUUAUUUCUCCAUGCUGGUGGGCCUCUUGCCUGACUUUACGACAGUUAAAUAAUGUAAUUAAACAAUUAAGAUGA
rnacentral:lncRNA from 1 species